rnacentral:lncRNA from 1 species
AUAAUUGCUUAUAUUUUGAUUCAUUCACAUCACAAUUAUUUGUAAUAUUUACAAUUUUUGGCUCUGUUAUACAAAUGUUGAAUAUAUUCAGAUAUACAUGUACAUGUAUCAUAUUCUGCCUAAUAAAUAGUAAAUAGAUGCAUUCAACUUAAAAACACAGAUUGUCUAAUGAAUUUUAUAUGUUAUAAGCAUGUUAUACAGGCAAGCAAGGAGCAGAUCCAGGGUUUAGGAAAACGGGCCCAUAAUUGUCAGAAAUUGUAAAAUUAUCUAAAAUUAACAGCAAGUGAAGCUGAUUCUUGGCAUCUAAUUUCUGAUCAAAAGGGGAAGAAAAAGGGGGGUUCACACUUCACGAUCCUCCCUCCUUGAAUCUAACAAUGUAAACAUUAUAUUUUUCAAUCCCCUAAAAAAAUCAAAAUGUCAUAUUUAAAAUGUUCACGAAAAUGUAGUUAACAAAUGUCAUUUCUUAUUUUGAAGAAGGCCGAUCACUAAUAAAUAUUUGUAAAAAAGAUAACAAUUUCUCUUGCCAGGUUCAAUCAGCAAUAUGAACAUUGUUAAACAGGCAAAAUCUCAGGGAAAAUACAAACACCCAUAUCCAAAGUAAUAAAAAGUCACCAAAACAUUUAGGGGCUCAUUAUAUUUUAUAAAAGUUCAUCCUUGUGGUUUUAUUUUGUUUUAAAAAUUCACCAUUGACAAAAAUAAACUUAUAACUGGAGGAAUUUAGAAUAUUUAUCAAUGAUAACUAAAUACUUCCCCUCAAAGCAAGUUCAUAAAAUAAGUCAAUAAAUUUUCAAACAAAACAAACCUUUAAAUAUGAUCAUGAUGAUGGAAACUUAUAUCAUGUGAUCAUCAUGUGAUACAGGGUAGUGAACCUAACUUGUUCUAAGUUUUUCUUGAAAAGUAUAAUGGUGGACAAUCCCUUACAUCACAAAAUUCAGUAGUGAUACACUGAGCUAACAGGUAACUAAGUGCAUGAAUCUUUACCAUGACACACAUGAUGAUUGUAUGUCAUUUUUUUCAGCUCUAUAUAAAAUGGGUAAAAACAUUUUUUUGUGAAAAUUAUGACAAUUUUUUUCCUCAGUAUGUGCUUAAAGAUGACAACAUGUUUUAAAGGGAGACAAAUCACACAUAUCAUCCAUUAACAAAGCAACAUCAUGCAAUUAUUAAGAUAUGUAUUGCUAAUGGGCAAAAACUAUCUUCUUGCAUGCUUACAAUUAUGAAAUACACAAUUUUUUAGGGGGCAAUUUUCGUAUGAAAGAAAGCUAUAGUAUACAUGUAUAUAAGAUUGUGGGAUAGCCAUUGCUCUAAAAAAAAAUGAUUUGACAAACAUCAUUUGACGGACAACCUAAUAAAAGUUGAUUUCUUUCAACUGUUCCAUAAGCAAAAUGAUUAGUACAGAUAUUAACACUACCUUUAAACACAUGGGUAUACACUGUCAAUCAGAUACCUGCUAUACAGCUAUAAAAAAGAUGUGGUAAAAUUGCCAAUGAGACAAAUCUCCAUAAGAGACCAAAUGACACAGACGUUAACAACUUUACAUUUGUAGGUCACCAUACGGCCUUCAACAAUGAGCAAAGCCCAUACCGCAUAGUUAAAUGUUUGCUAUCAUACUGAUACCCGCAGAGGAGUUUUGUUAAGGAAAUCAGUAGUACCCGAGUUUUACGUAAAUCAGUUUGUAAAUAGCCAGUUUGUGAAUUUAGAGAUAAUCAACAAGAAAAUCAUUUUGUUUUCAUUUAAAUAUGAAAAGAUGCAAAAAACCAUCAGAUUAUGUUGUUUCUACCCUUAUAUUUAAAGAGAAAUAACUCAAAAUGUUAAGAAUCUACCAUACGGCAUUGAAUAAAACAAUAUAUUUUCCUCUGAACAUCAUGAACAUAGUAUAUCCUCUGAUACAUGCAUAUGCCCGUAUGUUUUACGUAGAAAUUCUCAUAAUGGGAAAAACUUCAAAUAUUCUUUAUAUAACAUUUAUCCAUUUCUUGUGAACAUUGAAUUCAACUUAAAAGUUUUCACCAUUUAUAAAAGACUGAAUAAUUGUAUUUUUCAGUUGUUUUUGAAGGAAGUGUUCAUGUACAUGUACUCGUGCAGAUAAAUAGAUGACUGAUAUUUAUCAGGCAAAAUAUGAAAACAACAAACAGAUUACACUUAAAGCUUUGCAACCAUUCAGAAUAUAUAUAUACAAUGUAUAUAAACAAAUAAACUCUAGGCUUGGCCUCAACUGCAGCAAAAUAAUUAAGCAAAAAAAAAGUCUUUGCAACUUUUGACUCAUUGCAUGAGAGACCAUAAAAACAAACAUGGCAUUCUGUAUAAUAAACAUAGCACUAUAGUGACUGACAUUACAGCUCUAACAAUAUGGCACCUUAUAACACUUAUACUAAGUACACAUGCUUAAAACUUAAUCAUAAACAAGUUUCAUAUGGCAUAUAUAAUGUACACAAUUGAUUUCAUCAAUUUCAUCUAUUUUCAACAGAUGAGUACUCUUGAAAGCUAAGAAAAUCUCUCAAAUGUUUUGGAAGGAACAAAUCGUCCAAAUGACUAUCUAUACUAGUAGGAAUGCUGUUUCUUAUGGCUAGUCGGCAAUGUUCUUUCAGAGAGAG